rnacentral:lncRNA from 1 species
GGUACAACAGAGACAGCUGUUUGUCCCCCAGUAUCCUUCAGACAAAGCCAUAUAUGAUUGAAGGUUAUCAGUACUGUGCUUUUGGAGGAUUCAGAAGAAGUUAUAUCUGAUUGGGAGAUUGAAAAGGAUUGGCCUGAAGGAGAGGUGGUUUUUGAACUGCAUCUUAAAGGAUGAGGAAACUGAGGCUGAGAGGGUAGAGAACUUUGCCUGAGGUCACUCAGCAGGGACCCACCCAUCACAGUAAAUGCCAGCACUGCUGAUGCCAAAACAAUGUUAUUUGUAGGCCCUCGGAAUUUGUGACCUGAAGGAAGAAGAGCAGGGCCGUGGGAAGUAUGUAACCAGUGUCAUGCCCCUGGUCCCAAGGAAGCAGUGGCUUGGUAAAGAGGGGACCCCCGUCAAUAACUCCCUGUAAUUACUGGGCACCCACUCUGAGCUCCUCAGUGGAAUCCUAAGGUUAAUAAGACUGUCUCUAGCCACUGGGGCUCCCAGCCUGGAGUGAGGCCUGAACACCCUGUCCUACCUGGUCCUACCUGGAUGCUGGCCUCAGUAAGCUCCUGGGCUCAUUGAAGAUGAACCUAGCAGUAGUAUUUACACCACUUGUUGUGUGCCCACUGUGGGCCCGGCGCCAUGCCGAGUGCUCUAUGGAUGUGAGUGCUGGGAGAGAAAAGCAUACGACAUAGACAGGGAGGUCAAGCUCCACCACGCAGAUGAGGUGCAGGCCACCAGUCUUCCUCUGCCACAUCUCUUUCUGAAAAGGACUUCACAUUCACCCUUGCAAUCCAUGUGGGGACACUGUUGGAUAGGAGGCGUGGUCCCAGCGUGGUCUCCCUGUCUGGGCCUCUGCCUAUGCCAAAUGUUUGCCUUACGCUGCACACUCAAGAGGUUCCAUGUAUACAGAUGGGAAUUCCAGAGCUACAGAAAAGGCAGCAAGCACCAUGAUUUAAGCUAACCAGUGUGGAUUCACACCUUCCUCUCUCUCUAUCAGUGGCAGAACUACCAGCUAGAGUAAGAAGUGGUUGAUCCAGGACCUAAACAUUCUGGAAACUCUUGCCCACUUCUGGGAGAAAUGACCCAAUCCAUAGUACUAAGCACACCUUAACUUUCGUAGGACGCAGGCAAGUUGUCAUACCGUGUGCCUAAAUAUAGAAAAAUGAUCCACUGGACUAAUAAAGUGUUAAAUAAAA